UACGUAGGGACCGAGCGUUGUCCGGAAUCAUUGGGCGUAAAGAGCGUGUAGGCGGCCACUUAAGUCCUGCGUGAAAUCUUGCGGCUCAACCGCAAGCGGUCGUGGGAAACUGGGUGGCUAGAGUGCGGGAGAGGAGAGUGGAAUUCCUGGUGUAGCGGUGGAAUGCGCAGAUAUCAGGAAGAACACCAGCGGCGAAGGCGGCACUCUGGGCUGGUAUUGACGCUGAGGAGCGAAAGUGUGGGUAGCAAACAGG
rnacentral:rRNA from 1 species